UUCAAGUGUACAAAGAUAUUUGCAUUGGAAACUAGACCAAAAAUAUUUGAUUAGAUUUUGUGUUUUUGCAGUGCACCUUCAACAAGAACACUUUAGGAAGCUCAACACAAUAAAGUGCAAUAAGCCAUAAUCCUGCCUUUUUAGUGGCUUUCAUUAUGACUGUUGGACUAAAAUGUUUAAUCUACCAUAUAAGCCAUUUGUCUUUUUAUUGAAUUCAGUCGUCGCCUGAUGGUUUUGUUUUUUUUGUUUGUUUGUUUAAAUGCACUGUUUCUACUGAGCCUCAGAUUGAGCCAUGAACGGAGAAAAUGUCACAAAAUGGAUUUAAAAUUCUGUUUUUAAAUUUCAAGCAAAUUCUCUGGAAUAUAAAAGAUGAAAUAUUUUACUUGUGUGCAGCUCUGUGAGUUAGUGUAGUAACUCUGUUUAGAACUCUGUUUUUCACAUCCUACUUGCAUGAGAUCAGUAUUUAUUUUCCUAAUUCCUAGUUUUAUAAUCUCCCCCCCUCCUUUUUUAUUUUGAUAAGCAUACAUUUACCUUAUUAACAAAUGCCUUAAGUUUGCUCCCUGUAGGUUUUGGGACAUUUGGUGUUUAAGUUGCAUUGUUAUUAUUGCUGUUUUAUUUAUGGAUGUACAUUUGUUUUGCUUUUGUUCAACAUUCAGAGAGGCGACGGUUGUAUUCCCUGACCGACCGACUGACUGGUCACCAGGGCGUUCUGUGAAGUGUGUAAAUAAAUUUGUUAAACAUUCACCUGUGUGUUUGCUCCUGUGCUGAACACAAUAAGUUCCAACUGUUCCUGCAAACUUUUGUACGUCACUAUUACUUUUUCUAGGAUUUUUUUUUUUAUUCAUUCAGAUAAUUAUAUUUCUCAGAUUUUCACAAAUAUUCAACUCUUAAAUGUAGAUUUUUAUUUUUAUUUUUACUAUUUUCAUGUUCUUUACAAAUCAAUCAUAAGCUACAAAUUUCGACUUUUCUAAAGAUUUUGUUUAAUGCCAAAGAAAAAAGCGAUUUCUGCAAAAUAACAUGGGAUUCCUUUAAAGUGACCUAAUUUAACAGAGGUCUAGCCAAUUGGUGCCAGCCUCUGAGUGGGAUGGAGAUCCCCUGAAUGCAGUGUUUUUAGUUAUUUUGUAGAAAUCAAAUUUCACUUCAACAUUAAACAUUUAACAGUAAUGUAAAGUCAAAUUCUGAUAAUUUUGUAAAAACUACAGAAGUUAAUAUUUUUUAGGCACUGCAAGCCUUUAUACUUUCACUCACAAAAACAUAAAAUGUAUUGAUAAUUUAAGUAAUUCCAUUUAUAAGAGUAUAAUUACUCAUCUUUAUUUAAACGAAACUAAUAAAAAACAACUCUUUAAAAUUAACAUCCAAUACAAGUUCUGUCUUUUUUCCAGGUCUUUGUUUCUGGUAUAUUCUUGCAUUUGAUUACACGUCUAUAUUAAGUGUUUUUACAAUAUUAAGUGUUUUUCUUUAUUCUUUGUUUCCAUGGAGAUGUAUUUAAUUUUAAGGUUUAAAAAAAAACUGGGAAAUUUUAAAAUAUCUUAAAAGGGGUUUUAUUUGAAAUUUGGCUUUUUCUCUUAAUUUUCUAUCCAAUUUUAGGAUGGCCACAACAGCAAAUUGUGACCCUGAUAUAUGAUUCUUCUGCUCUUCAUUUAUUAUGUGUUUUAGGUUGUUAGUUGAUCUUUGGGAAUCAGACCUCAUUUAUUGGGUGAAGGAUUCACAAAUGUGAGUUAAAUGGCCUUAAAAAGAAAAUGUAUUCCUGCGAACGUGACUUGAGGAAAUUAGCACUACAAGACAGGGAUCUUAGUUUUAACAUAUCCAAUGUAGUUUAUUUUUGUCGUGAGGUUUUUCUAUCAGGCAAAAGUUUGGGUCGCACGCAGACAAUUAUGUUCUGUGCCUGUACCGGUGACACAAACAUACUAGCUCACUUUUGUAGCUUAUCUGUACCAUGCUGCCUAAAUUCUGGGCAAAAAAAAAAGUUUCUGAAGACAUCCAGAAAACCUGAAUUAUAUUACUCCAAAACACUUUUAAAUAGAAAAUCUGGUUACUUUGAACCAAAGAAUAGAGAAACAGGUGUUACUAUAAAAGUAUGUAUGCUAACAGUAGUUAGCUUUUAGCCCCGAAGGUGGUUUUGGAAAGAUUUAAAUCAUCAAUGGAUCCUUGUCUAGAAAAAAAAAGUUAAACAUAAUUCAUUGAGGA